rnacentral:lncRNA from 1 species
AGCCUCAGCUACAAGAGCUGUCGGUGAGUUCCCAAGUUCUAAUAACCUAAGACUGCAGAACCUAGUUGAGUCGCAGCUCGAAAUAACAAAAACAGAAAGUUGCUUAAUUGCUCUAAGUGCUAAGUUUUCUCUGGAAAAGUCCUCCCUUUGUGCCUCUCGCCUAGGACUCCUUAUAUACUCCUCCAAGGUCGGUUUUAACUUUUCCCUCCCUGUCCUUACGCCGUCUUAAAUAAAAAAUGGAGAUAUUCCAUUUUUUCCGAUCUUCAUGUUUAUCCGAAGAAACUUAACAUUUUUUCAGCGGAAACUUAUCUUUAUAUUUGUUUUUAUAAAAUAAAAACAUAAACCGUCAUAGUAUCUACGAGCUCAUUCUUAAAGAAUCGUAAGUGGGCUUGUAGUAGCGUUUUAGAGCUCGUUGGGCCGUCUUUCGACAUGAAACGUUUGUUACGACUUUCUUUUCGACAAAAACAAGUUCUCGCGGUUUUUAUCUUAAAUUUUAAACGGUAACUUUGAUCGGAAUGAUGUGAGAAAUGAUAUGGCUGCGGUACAUGGGAGCUAGCAUUGAGGAACAGACGAGAAUGCAUGGAUUUGGGUCGUACCCGUUGAUCGAUGUCCGAGACAGUUCGAUCACUACGUAGCGACCUGAUCCGCGCUGGAUCGGUCGCUACGUAGCGACCGAACAAAAGGCUUGGUCGGUCGCU